rnacentral:rRNA from 1 species
CCUACGGGUGGCUGCAGUGGGGAAUAUUGCACAAUGGGGGAAACCCUGAUGCAGCAACGCCGCGUGAAGGAAGACUGUUUUCGGAUUGUAAACUUCUGUUCUUAGUGGAGAAUAAUGACGGUAGCUAAGUAGCAAGCCACGGCUACCUCCGUGCCAGCAGCCGCGGUAAUACGGAGGUGGCAAGCGUUUUCCGGAAUUACUGGGUGUAAAGGGAGCGCAGGCGGGAAGCUAAGUCAGCUGUGAAAGCUACGGGCUUAACUUGUAGACUGCAGUUGAAACUGGUUUUCUUGAGUGAAGUAGAGGUUGGCGGAAUUCCGGGUGUAGCGGUGAAAUGCGUAGAUAUUCGGAGGAACACCGGUGGCGAAGGCGGCCAACUGGGCUUUAACUGACGCUGAGGCUCGAAAGUGUGGGGAGCAAACAGGAUUAGAUACCCUUGUAGUC